CGCAUUACACAUUUUAAUACAUGUACUUUGAACAUACAAGAAACGAGAGAUAUCAGACAGCUGUCAAUCCAAGGUAGACCUCUUCGUGACUUAAUGUUCACCCCAACCAAGCCAGCAAGUUCACCUGUUCAAUGGUCACUGCCUUGCAUGACACAUUGGGACUACACAAAUUCAUUUUCACUAGUUUGCUCUUCACUUUAUAUUUCAGUCCCUCAACCCUGUUCCCUCUGAAAGUACAUCAAAAAGUCCCCCAAACCAUUAUUUACAUUCAUUAGUUCUCAGUUUAUAAAAUGAUACACAUUACCAAAAAAUAACAUCACAAGUAAUGACCUUGUUUGGCUGUACUGCAGAUAAGAAGCAUGAAGGUCCUCAAGCAGCGUAACACCCCCAGCAAGCUCAGAAACGGCUGUUCUGACAGACCCAUGAGCUUUGGCAAGGCCACUAGCCACUUAAUCUGUGCACCACUGAAACUUGUUUCCAGGCUUGGCAGCUGGUACUUACGUCACAAAAGCUGCACUUGCCAAGCAGUUCCAGAAAGUUCAGAAGGGAGGGAUUAUCAAGGCAUUUCCCUCCCUCCCCUGUUUCAUUCCUGAUUGCUAGGGAUGUGCAGCUGCUAAUUAGUGUAAGGCAGAGACAGCCUAUAGCUGCUCCGAUUUACCACAGCUUUACCUGGGCAGCCUCUUCCAUGCCUCCCCAAUCAGACCACAAAAUCUCUGUAAAAUACAAGGUUGGACUUCAGCUCUAAUCUUGGAAACUCAGACUGUUCCCUCAUACACAAAUCAGAGUAGAAGUAUAGCUUGUUAUGUAAAAGGUUACUGUCAACUGCGAAAGAUAAUUUAGAGGAACAUUCAAGUCACCACUUGUUUCCCUAUAUGUGUCAAAUCUCUCAUGUCCUUAAGACAAAGGGCUGCAUCCUUGAUGAAAUGCCAUCUCCUCUGCCAGGUGCAACAGUAGCAAAUUGGGGAUAGAAGAUUUCCAGUGCCAAAAAGGCAGAUUCAUCCACAUGGACAACCUUGUCCUGACAGCCUGAUGCUACUGUGAUCUGAUCUUGCUUACACAUGCACCUUGCUUUGCUUGUCUUGCUCCUUUCCCUCACAGAUCCUGAACACUACAGUACCAAGCUCACUAUCAAAAGCCUUGUUCUGUGACAGCAGAGGAGGGAGGAAAUGGCACAAAAGAGAAACUAAAGCAUGUCUAAUUUUAGCUUGCUUCUUAUUUCUGACAGAGUAACUCCAAAGGCAGCAAAAAAGUGAUGGUCUGCUCCCGUUAAAAUGCAUGAUAUUUUCCAGUUUCCUCAUAAACUCCAAUAGGAAAACCUCAUAUUAGGAGAGGCAUACAUCACUGAAUUCAGACCAAAGGCAAGUAAGAGACAGAGUUGUGACAAGGGGGUGUUUUCAACAGUGCCGUAGGUGUACAUAGUGACUUACUCAACAUCCAUCUUAUUUUGGGUAAAAACCCAAAAGAAUAGAACAUCAGCAAUGAGAAAAAAAGAAGGUAAAAGAUGAGGAGGGAAACCCCUACAAUUUAUUGUGGUCAGUACUCACUGUGCAGCUCCAUUUAGCUGCCUUUCCCUUACAAGAACAAAACCACAGCUGUGUAGGCAAUGCUUGCUUUAACAACUAAGUACCUCUUCCUGUGCCCGUAUAUGGUCCAAUGCUUCCGUAUCAAGUAUCACAUACAUCUAUGAGAAAGAGAUGAAGCUGGAAACACUUCCUACUACACACACUUGUAUCCCAUCUCAUAUAAGCUGGGAGCCACCAUGUGACUACAGCAUACAAGGAAUCUCAAAGGCCCCCACCUGCAGCCAACAAAGCACAUGGGGCAGCUAACAAGUUUAAUCACACAACUAGAAAGAGAAGCACAGGACUUGUGGAAUUUUGAAGGAAUAUGAUCACUACUGGGACAAACAAUAUGACUUUUACUACUAAGCAGCUUUCCAGC
rnacentral:lncRNA from 1 species